rnacentral:rRNA from 1 species
UACGAAGGGGGCUAGCGUUGCUCGGAAUCACUGGGCGUAAAGGGUGCGUAGGCGGGUUUUUAAGUCAGGGGUGAAAUCCUGGAGCUCAACUCCAGAACUGCCUUUGAUACUGAAGAUCUUGAGUCCGGGAGAGGUGAGUGGAACUGCGAGUGUAGAGGUGAAAUUCGUAGAUAUUCGCAAGAACACCAGUGGCGAAGGCGGCUCACUGGCCCGGUACUGACGCUGAUGCACGAAAGCUAGGGGAGCAAACAGG